rnacentral:rRNA from 1 species
AACGAACGCUGGCGGCAUGCCUAACACAUGCAAGUCGAACGAAGGCUUCGGCCUUAGUGGCGCACGGGUGCGUAACGCGUGGGAAUCUGCCCUUAGGUUCGGAAUAACAGUUAGAAAUGACUGCUAAUACCGGAUGAUGACGUAAGUCCAAAGAUUUAUCGCCUGAGGAUGAGCCCGCGUAGGAUUAGCUAGUUGGUGUGGUAAAGGCGCACCAAGGCGACGAUCCUUAGCUGGUCUGAGAGGAUGAUCAGCCACACUGGGACUGAGACACGGCCCAGACUACUACGGGAGGCAGCAGUGGGGAAUAUUGGACAACGGGCGCAAGCCUGAUCCAGCAAUGCCGCGUGAGUGAUGAAGGCCUUAGGGUUGUAAAGCUCUUUUACCCGUGAUGAUAAUGACAGUAGCGGGAGAAUAAGCCCCGGCUAACUCCGUG